rnacentral:lncRNA from 1 species
UUCCGCGCUGCCCGGCGCCCUAGCCCGCACCCACCUUGACGUCCUCGUCCUCGUCCUCGCCUUCCCAGCGGUCCCCGCCGGCAGUGCCGCCGCCCCCCACCUUCCGCACUGGGUCUUCCACGGAGAAAGCGUCGGCGUCUACGGAAGAAAGCGAGCCGUGUUAGUGCCUGCCACUGCGUGGGGCCGGCGCCGGCCCGGGCCCUGCCCCAGCAACUUCUCCUCACCCCAGGAGUCCGAGUCCCCCGCCGCCGCCGCCGCCGCCGCCAUCUCGAGCCGGGUGUGAGCGUGUGUGAGAGGGAGAGCUAGCGAGGAGUUAGCACGGCGGAGAACAAUUUCGGACCUCCUGGGGUCUAUGCUAGGUAUGAGGUGUAUCUUUGCCCUCCAUCAAGUAGCAAAGAUGGACAUGUAAACAAAUUUCGACACUGUGAUGACUGCCACAAAAAGCAGCAUUAUGAGGUUGAAUGUAAAAGGAUAACCUUAGCGGCGGCGGGGGCCGGAGGAUGAAGGAAGGCUUCCUGAGGUAGGCGCUGGUUGAAACUGAAGUUGGAGAGAGCAAGUGGCAUUUGCUGAAGUGCAUUUCCGGUAGAAAACUCCAGUGGUCCCUCACCUGACUGAGUGGCGCAGUCAGAGAUAAAUGGAACAGAGUCUACAAAUAAACAUUUUAUAAAGAUGAUCCUUCAAUACAUAUUCUACAGCCCAGUUAAAAUGUGAGAGGCCAUGAUCUACAGACAGCCAUUUAUAAAGGUGGAUCAGGGCCGGACACGGUGGCUCAACGUCUGUAAUCCCGGCACUGUGGGAGGCCAAAGCGGGAGGAUCGCUUGAGCCCAGGAGUUCGAGACCAACCUGGCCAACAUGGUGAGACCCCAUCUUUACAAAAAAAUAUAUAUAUCCAGGCAUAGUGGUGUGCACCUGUGGUCCUGUGGUCCCAGCUACUCAGGAAGCUGAGGCAGUUGAGGCUGCAGUGAGCCACGUUCUGGCCACUACACUCCAGCCUGGGCAUCAAAGUGACAAGACCAAAAAAAAAAAAAAAUGUGGAUUGGAAGGAGGCAAGAAAGAAGUCAGGAAAAGGGUGGAAUGUAAGUCCCUAAGGACACAAUCUUACUCACAAUUGUAUCUCCAACAUUUGGCAUAAUGCCUAAUACGUAAGUAUUUUAUGAAUUAAUUAAACGAGAACACAAGCCUAAAUUAAGGCAAUGGCAAUGGAGAAGAAGAAACCAACUUGAGAAAUAUUUAAAGGUCAUUGUCAAUGGAACUUAGUGACUUUAAUGGUUAAUUUUAUCUAUCAACUUGGCUAGGCGAUGCUACCCAUGUUACUCAGUUUUUGGUCAAACACUAGUCUAGUUGUUGCUAUGAAUUGUAUUUGUUAGAUGUGAUUAACAUUUAAAUCAGCAGACUUUGAUUAAAGUACAUUACCCUCUAUAAUGAGGGUGGGCCGCAUCCGGUCAGUUCAAAUUAAAACGAGACCCUUAAGAAGAAGCAAUUCAGCCUCCAGACUGCAGCGUCAAAUCUCCCUGGGUCUCCAGGCUGUUUGUCUGCCCUGCAGAUUUCAGACUUGCCAGCUCCCAGAAUAAUGUGAGCCAAUUCCUUAAAAUAAAUCUCUUUCUGCAUAUACACAUCCUAUUGAUUCUGUUUCUCUGGAGAACCCGUACUAAUAUAGUGUCUGACUAGAUAUGAAGGAGGAGGGGAAGGGAGAAAUAGAUAGA